CAAACAUAAAGCAGCUCAGUAGUGUAAACAUGGCGAGCAGUGUGGGACGACUGAGGCUUCUUCCACGAGUUUGUUCUUUAAUCAGUAGAGCAGUAUGCCAUAACAAAAUACGUAUAGGAUAUGACAUAAAUCCUGCAUCUAUACACUAUGGAUGGGGGAAGCAACUAUCCGAGGCUAGGAGGAGUGUUCAUCUGACUUCUGCCGUCUCAAUGUUCAUCAAAGUUCAAGAAACACCCAAUCCAAAUUCUCUCAAAUUUUUACCAGGUGUCCAGGUACUUGAGUCUGGAACUGCAACUUUGCCAACAUCACAGCAGCUCAGAAAUCCCCU